rnacentral:rRNA from 1 species
GACGAACGCUGGCGGCGUGCCUAAUACAUGCAAGUCGAACGCUUCUUUUCCACCGGGUGCUUGCACCCACCGGGAAAGAGGAGUGGCGGACGGGUGAGUAACACGUGGGUAACCUGCCCAUUAGAGGGGGAUAACACUUGGAAACAGGUGCUAAUACCGCAUAAUCGUUUGAGCCGCAUGGCUCGGACGUGAAAGACGCUUUCGGGUGUCACCAAUGGAUGGACCCGCGCCGCAUUAGUUAGUUGGUGAGGUAAUGGCUCACCAAGACCGUGAUGCGUAGCCGACCUGAGAGGGUGAUCGGCCACACUGGGACUGAGAUACGGUCCAAACUC